UACGAAGGGGGCUAGCGUUGCUCGGAAUCACUGGGCGUAAAGCGCACGUAGGCGGAUUGCUAAGUCAGGGGUGAAAUCCUGGAGCUCAACUCCAGAACUGCCUUUGAUACUGGCGGUCUCGAGUCCGGGAGAGGUGAGUGGAACUGCGAGUGUAGAGGUGAAAUUCGUAGAUAUUCGCAAGAACACCAGUGGCGAAGGCGGCUCACUGGCCCGGUACUGACGCUGAGGUGCGAAAGCGUGAGGAGCGAACAGG
rnacentral:rRNA from 1 species